GAACUCUCUGUUUUUGUGCACACAGUCUCCGGUCAUUGUCACAUUUCCUGUCGCCCGUGGUGGCUUCUUUUUGUAGAAAAGAAGGACAAGACCCUGCGGCCCUGCAUCGAUUACCAAGGACUGAAUGACAUCACGAUAAAGAACAGGUACCCUCUCCACCUCAUUGCCACGGCCUUCAAACUUCUGAAGGGGGCCAAGAUUUUUUACCAAGCUGGACUUGAAGAAUGCAUACCACCUGGUGCGAAUAAGAGAGGCGGAUGAGUGGAAGACUGCUUUGAACAGACCCACGGGGCAUUAUGUAUACUUGACGACAUCCUGAUUUUUUUUCCUCAGACGAAAAAUCCCAUGUCAGGCGGUGUUACAACAGAAAAGGAGAUGCGCAUGAAUCCCAGCGAGGUUGAGGCCGUUCUUCAUUGGCCCACUCCAACUAUCCGCAAGGAGGGGCCGCCAUUGGUCUUUCCUUGAGCUAUCACUCGGAAACCAAUGGCCAGACCGAGCGCGUAAACCAGGACUUGGAAGUGGGUCUCCAGUGUCUUGCCUCUCACGAACUGCUGCACGGUUAUCCACUCUCCCUCUUCCCAUCUGGAGAUUCGAACUCGCUGGUGUCGUCUACGUUGGUCGUUAUGUGGCGCUGCAAAAGAACCUGGGAGUGAGCCCGACAGCUGAUACUGCGCAAUGGUCUCUCCUAUAAGGCCGCUGUAGACCUUUAGAGGGCUGUGUACCGAACCCUGCCUCAUUAUCUACCAACCCUCUACGCCUGCUGAUUCUGUUACUACCGCUUCCUUUGACUGCCUGCCUGUGUUUCAACCUUGGACUGACUGAAGAUGCUUUCUGAAUUAUACGUGAUCUCGUGAGUCUUGCAUUGUGUGUUCAGCCUAGUGUUCAGUCUUGCAACAGUAGCAGAACGUUCAAAUCUAUUGUAAAGCUGACUGGAAGCCAGUGUAAAAACUUGGAGUUAUAUGCUCUGACCUCUUUGUACUGGUCAGAACCCACGCUGUAGCAUUUUCAUUCCCUCGUUCCCCUCAUUAUGUAUGCGUACCCUCGUGACCAGUAAGUAACCCUUCAUAAGUACCUCUCAUGCCAGUAUAAGGUGCCGACAAAUAUUUUGAAAAAUAAAUGCAUCUAUUAACGCUACCAUGAAUAAAAAAGGAGGUGAAAGAUGUGCCUGAUAAAUAUAAAGCUUCAAAGGGCACAAAAUUAAAAAAAAGUAACACUCCAGCACAGAAACCACUGACGCAGCCGACCAUGGGGACAUUGUUGGGUGCCCCGUCUCCCACCCCUAAAAUCACAUCAUUUCAAUAUGUAUUUUUUUUCACUAUGGUUUGAUGUGUUUUGAGCUAAAACAUUUUCUGAAAACAUAAAAAAUGCUGUCCAAUGAUGUGUAGAUUGUGGUAAUCGGUUAAUGCGGUUAAUGAAGAUAUUUCUAUUUAAAGAUCAAACGCGACAUUUCAGCAAUAGUCUAGAAAACAAGGAUGUUUUGUUUCCACUAAGAGGGACUGUAUUAUGGUAUCUUUGUUGUUGCAUUUAUGUUAGUAUAUUUGAAUUGAAUUUAUAACUGCAGUGGACCCCAAGCUUCCUGUUGAUACCAAUCAUGAUGAGAUAUUCCUUGUUUUGUAUG